CUCACUCAACACCCUUAUCCUCUUCCUUCCCACCCACUCGUCCCCAUCUCUCUCUCUCAGUUCCCGGCGGCGAGUCCUCCCUCUCUCUUCCCUGGCGGUUCUCCGGCGUUGUUGCCGGCUGCGAUUCUCAGCGGCGCACGGGCGGAGGCAGAGGCAGAGGCUCGGAGCCGGAGGCUCGCGCGCGUCACGCGGCAGUCGGAUCUCGAUGCCGUGACCUUGUCGACGACACCGAGAAGAGGAACCCACGCACGCCGUGGUGGUACCGCGAUUCCGGUGGGACAGAGCUGCCGGAGGUGCUCGUGCGGGCCGUUUGCAUCCACCCCCUCGACAUGUGGUGGUGGACGGUGGAUAGGUCUCGCCGACGGCAUCCCGAUGUCGACGGUGGUGGUUAGAGCGGCCGUGCGCUUGGUGAAGCCGUAGUGUUUUUGGGCCGGCGCCCCAUCUGGUGCUGGAGGGAGAUGCUCGUACGCGCCAGCAAGAGCCCGCCAUAGGUGUGGAUCCUACACCUUCCGUCGCAUCCCCACGUCUCCUCCGCCUACAGCCUACUCCGUAACACGGCGAAGGAGCUCGUGUGGGUGGAUGCUCCGGCGGCGUGCCCGGAGACAGCGGGCGGAGGAGCUCGUGUGUGCCUGCCCUGACGGAGAGGAGCGGAAGAUGCUCCUGGAGUGGGAGCACAGCGCUCUCAAGCGCUCGUGCUCCGGGGGCUCCGGCGACGUACAAGGAGCUGCAUGAGCGCAGAGAGGAGCUUAUCUUUUGUUAGAUAUGUUUCAUGCCUCCUCGAGCUCGACCACCCAUGGCUACGCACUGCUAAGGCAGUGGAUCCCUUCCGGCAGAGAAAAAAGACCAACUCCCAGCUGUGAGGGUCAAACUGGAACAUGAUCCCUUGGAUAUGUUGGUGAAGGCCUUCGAGAUGAGCGGGCGGUUAUGCCUUGCCGUAAAAGUGCCCGGCUUCCCUCCGACUCUUCAGUUAUGGGUUAUGUCUCUGCCACCGCAGGACCAGUGGGCCGACAGUGACGACAAAAAGUUGUGCUGGGAUUUGCACUACAGCUUCACCGCAUACUACACCAACAAUAAUGUACCGACUAGCGUUUGGUUUGACAAUGGCGAGAAGACGUUGUGCGUCAGGCAAGAGGAUGUCUUGUUCAAGCAUGGCAUGAGAGGACGCUCGCCGGAGCCGUCUCGAUAUUCUUAUUGUCCAGAAUGCGACCAGCGACUCGAGCUGCCGCCAACACCGUCGAACUACAUAUGGAACAUUUUGAGGGGCUAUCGCCCCAGCUUGCUCUCA